GUGAACGCUGGCGGCGUGCCUAACACAUGCAAGUCGAACGAUGAUGGAGAGCUUGCUCUCCUGAUUAGUGGCGCACGGGUGAGUAUACCAUAGAUAAUGUACCUCUUAGUUUGGGAUAGCCACUGGAAACGGUGAUUAAUACCAGAUACUCCUUCUCGUUAUAAGACGAGUCGGGAAAGUUUUUUCGCUUCGAGAUCAGACUAUAUCCUAUCAGUUAGUUGGUGAGGUAAUGGCUCACCAAGGCAAUGACGGGUAGCGGUUCUGAGAGGAUGAUCCGCCACACUGGUACUGAGACACGGACCAGACUCCUACGGGAGGCAGCAGUGAGGAAUAUUGCACAAUGGGGGGAACCCUGAUGCAGCAACGCCGCGUGGAGGAUGACGCAUUUCGGUGUGUAAACUCCUUUUAUAUGUCAAGAAAAUGACGGUAGCAUAUGAAUAAGCACCGGCUAACUCCGU
rnacentral:rRNA from 1 species